UGAUGGCUUUUAGCCCUUUUUAAAUUAAUUGUGUGUGAUGCUGGUUAAAAUUUUAUUUAUAAUUAAUUUUAAAGAAGGGUUUAAGUUAGGGAGUAAUUUUGAAAGAAAGCUUUAUGGCAUGUUUAAGUACUGUGAAGGAAAACUUUUAAUUAUUGUGAAGAUAGGGUUAAAACGUUCUACCUUUUGUAUGAUGGCUUAUCGAGAUUAAACAGUAAGGAUUUACUUUUCCCGAAAUUAAGUGAGCUAUUAAUUUAAUUUUUUUUCAAUGUAGCAUAAUUGUGUUAAAUAUUUUAAUAGUGGUGACAUGCUCUUCGAACUUGAUUAUAGCUGGUUAACUAAGAAGUAUAUCUAAGUAUAGGACGGUCUACAGAAGUAAAAUUUAGUAUAUCUAAGUAUAGGACGGUCUACAGAAGUAAAAUUUAUUAAAAGAGUUUGUUUUUUUACUGGUCUUAGCCUUGAGGAGAUAAGUUCUUAAGGUUUCAUAAACAUAUUCGUUGUUUUAAAUGGGUUUCUAGGCUUAAUAUUAGUCAUGGACUUAAGAGUUUGUUAUAAAAAUCCCAAGAAGUAAAAUGGUUUUAGGUUAUAGGUAUUAUUAGUUCGUAACGAAAAAUUAUAUUUGUUUUUGAUUAUGUUAAGAUUAGUAUUAAAAAAUUACAUUUACAAGGGGCUAUAUCAGCUUGUAAUGAGUUAGUUUUAAGUUUAAAUGAGAAAAAGGAAUUCGGCAAAUUUUAUUUCGCCUGUUUAACAAAAACAUGGCUCUCUGACUUUAAGCAAUGGGGAGUCGGGCCUGCCCGGUGAUUAAUAUUUAACGGCCGCGGUAUCUUGACCGUGCGAAGGUAGCAUAAUCAUUUGUCUUUUAAUUAAAGACUGGAAUGAAUGGUUUGACGAAAAUAAAGCUGUCUCUUUUUUAAUAAGUAGAAAUUAAUUUUUAAGUGAAGAAGCUUUAAUUAUUUAAAUAGACAAGAAGACCCUACUGAGCUUUAAUUGACUUUUAGAAUGAAGGAAGUUUUAAUAAGCGGAUAUCUAUGGGUAUAUUUUGGUUGGGGUGACUAAGGAAUAUGAAAACCUUCCUUUUUUUAUGUAAACGAGGAUCCGGUAUUACCGACUUUAGGAAAAAGUUACCAUAGGGAUAACAGCGUAAUUUUUUUUGAGAGUUCUUAUCGAAAAAAAAGUUUACGACCUCGAUGUUGGAUUGAAGUAUCUAAAGGGUGUAGCAGUUCUUUGGGUUGGUCUGUUCGACCAUUAAAACUUUACAUGAUCUGAGUUCAGACCGGCGUGAGCCAGGUCGGUUUCUAUCUUUUAACAUAAAAAUAUUAAAGAUAGUACGAAAGGACCUCUAUUAAGUAAAUUUUUUAUAAUUUUUAAAGAGCCUCACGUAAUUAUUAUAAUGGCAGAUUAGUGCAUUAGAUUUAAAAUCUAAAAAUGGAGACCU
rnacentral:rRNA from 1 species